AACGAACGCUGGCGGCAUGCCUAACACAUGCAAGUCGAACGAGACCUUCGGGUCUAGUGGCGCACGGGUGCGUAACGCGUGGGAACCUGCCUUUAGGUUCGGAAUAACUCAGAGAAAUUUGAGCUAAUACCGGAUGAUGUCUUCGGACCAAAGAUUUAUCGCGUUUAGAUGGGCCCGCGUUGGCUUAGCUAGUUGGUGGGGUAAAGGCCUACCAAGGCGACGAUCCAUAGCUGGUCUGAGAGGAUGAUCAGCCACACUGGGACUGAGACACGGCCCAGACUCCUACGGGAGGCAGCAGUGGGGAAUAUUGGACAACGGGGGAAAGCCUGAUCCAGCAAUGCCGCGUGAGUGAUGAAGGCCUUAGGGUUGUAAAGCUCUUUUACCCGAGAUGAUAAUGACAGUAUCGGGAGAAUAAGCUCCGGCUAACUCCGUG
rnacentral:rRNA from 1 species